UAGGGAAUCUUCCACAAUGGGCGCAAGCCUGAUGGAGCAACACCGCGUGAGUGAAGAAGGGUUUCGGCUCGUAAAGCUCUGUUGUUAAAGAAGAACACGUAUGAGAUUAACUGUUCAUACGUUGACGGUAUUUAACCAGAAAGUCACGGCUAACUACGUGCCAGCAGCCGCGGUAAUACGUAGGUGGCAAGCGUUAUCCGGAUUUAUUGGACGUAAAGAGAGUGCAGGCGGUUUUCUAAGUCCGAUGUGAAAGCCUUCGGCUUAACCGGAGAAGUGCAUCGGAAACUGGAUAACUUGAGUGCAGAAGAGGGUAGUGGAACUCCAUGUGUAGCGGUGGAAUGCGUAGAUAUAUGGAAGAACACCAGUGGCGAAGGCGGCUACCUGGUCUGCAACUGACGCUGAGACUCGAAAGCAUGGGUAGCGAACAGGAUUAGAUACCCUGGUAGUCCAUGCCGUAAACGAUGAGUGCUAGGUGUUGGAGGGUUUCCGCCCUUCAGUGCCGGAGCUAACGCAUUAAGCACUCCGCCUGGGGAGUACGACCGCAAGGUUG
rnacentral:rRNA from 1 species